AUGCCAAGGAUGCUCACCGCCAACGUGCAACAAAUCCGGGCGAUGGUUGCCUCUGCUGAGGCUUUAGGCGUGCCUCCUGGCUCUGCGAUGUUCAGGCAAGCUCUGCGGUCUGUUGCGUUAGUUAGUGAGGAGAAGAUGGCCACCAAAGUGGAUCACUUAAAGAAGGCAACAAGGUGGUCGGAUGCCGAUGUCGCCAUUGCUGUGUCCAAGUGGCCGAUUCUGCUGAGGUGGUCCAAGGAAACGCUGCAGCGCAAGUCCGACUUCCUCAUCGCGGAGGUGGGAUUGGAACCGGCGUACAUUGCUCGUCGGCCAGCGAUGCUUAGUUUUAGCCUGGAGGGCCGGCUCAGGCCCCGGUACUAUGUUAUGAGGUUUCUCAAGGAAAAUGGAUUGCUAGAUCAUGACAGAGACUACUACACUAUGGUCUUGUUUGGCGAGAAGGUGUUUGUGGAGAAAUUCAUAUGCCCUCACAAGGAAGCUGCGCCGCACCUCCCUGAAGACUAUGCUGCUGCUCGCAGAGGGGAAAUGCCGACUAAUUUCAGAUUUGUAUGA
rnacentral:rRNA from 1 species